rnacentral:rRNA from 1 species
UACGUAGGCAGCAAGCGUUGUUCGGAAUUACUGGGCGUAAAGAGUGUGUAGGCGGUGUUCUAAGUUUGUCGUGAAAUCUCCCGGCUUAACUGGGAGGGUGCGGCGAAAACUGGAAUGCUAGAGGAUGGGAGAGGUAAGCGGAAUUCCUGGUGUAGCGGUGAAAUGCGUAGAGAUUAGGAAGAACACCAGUGGCGAAGACGAUUCUCUGGACCGUAACUGACGCUGAGGCAUGAAAGCGUGGGUAGCAAACAGG